AAAGUUUACGUGAACUGAGAUCCUCUUCACGUUGAGCCAUCUUCCCUGAGCCUUUUCCAAUGCCAGAAGAAUUCAGAUUCCAUAGGAAGCAGGGAAGACUGCUCUCAGGAGAAGAUGCAGUGGCUCACGCCUGUAAUUCCAGCACUUUGAGAGGCCGAGGCAAGAGGAUCGCUUGAGGCCAAGGGUUCGAGACCUGCCUGGGCAACAGAGUGAGACCCCCUAUCUCUACAAAAAAUAAAAAAAAAAUCUAGUUGGG
rnacentral:lncRNA from 1 species